GAAGCUGCACUCGGACUCGCCUCUGGGGGAAUUUGCCCCUUCAGGGCCGCCCAGUUCUGACCUCGCCUUCCCCUAAUCCUUCCCUUGCGGUUGGAACUCUGCAUUUGCGCAGGCCCUCGGCCUCGCGUCCUACCUGCCCGCACCGCACUGACGGCUCUGGGCACCUGAUGCCCACCUCGCUCCAGGCGCGUCAUUCAUGCGGUCUUUCAGCGUGCAUUUCAUCUAGGACAAGCACCAGAAGUGAAAUCAUUAGGACAGAAAGUGCGAACACCAGUAAGGUUUGGGUUUGGAGGUCCUACUGCUCUCCAGGAAGGUGGACCCAAUUCUGAUGGAAGGAUCAUCACCAGAAAGUACAGAAAGGCUGAGAGUGGCCUGAGGACACACAGCAGGACAGGCCUGAGAGGGGUCACUGUGCCCACUUUCCAAGGAAACUCAUCUGUAUGUAAGUCUCCAAGAGGUGAGGCAUCAGGCUGAGAUGACAUGGCCACUGGGUAGCAGAGCCUGGAUUCAAACCCGGAUGUUUUGGCCCAGAGGUCAGGCCUUUAACUGCCUCUCACUCAACGCUCAUCACCUUCAGAGAAGAGGACCCUAAAGGACACUGCCAAUGAUGGGACAGGGUCCCGCUCUUCCCCACAGGCCUGCCCUCCCCAGUGCCCUCACUUCCAGGCCCCACGGCUUCCAACUCCCCAUUGACAUGAGAUGAUGGAAGAGACAGAAUUCUCACAGAUGCUGGGUCACAUCACUGGGUACCCCAAGUAGUCUCUCCUCUGGCCCACAGACACCACAUGGCUUCCACAAGACCCAGGCGCCCCAG